rnacentral:rRNA from 1 species
UACAGAGGUGGCAAGCGUUGUUCGGAAUUACUGGGCGUAAAGGGCGCGUAGGCGGCCUUCUAAGUCAGACGUGAAAUCCCCCGGCUUAACCUGGGAACUGCGUCUGAUACUGGGAGGCUUGAGUAUGGGAGAGGGAUGUAGAAUUCCAGGUGUAGCGGUGAAAUGCGUAGAUAUCAGGAGGAACACCGGUGGCGAAGGCGGGUCUCUGGGCCGUUACUGACGCUGAGGAGCGAAAGCGUGGGGAGCGAACAGG